AGUGAACGCUGGCGGUAGGCCUAACACAUGCAAGUCGAACGGCAGCACAGUAAGAGCUUGCUCUUACGGGUGGCGAGUGGCGGACGGGUGAGGAAUACAUCGGAAUCUACUUUUUCGUGGGGGAUAACGUAGGGAAACUUACGCUAAUACCGCAUACGACCUACGGGUGAAAGCAGGGGAUCUUCGGACCUUGCGCGAUUGAAUGAGCCGAUGUCGGAUUAGCUAGUUGGCGGGGUAAAGGCCCACCAAGGCGACGAUCCGUAGCUGGUCUGAGAGGAUGAUCAGCCACACUGGAACUGAGACACGGUCCAGACUCCUACGGGAGGCGGCAGUGGGGAAUAUUGGACAAUGGGCGCAAGCCUGAUCCAGCCAUACCGCGUGGGUGAAGAAGGCCCUCGGGUUGUAAAGCCCUUUUGUUGGGAAAGAAAAGCAGCAGGUUAAUACCCCGCUGUUCUGACGGUACCCAAGGAAUAAGCACCGGCUAACUUCGUG
rnacentral:rRNA from 1 species